ensembl:lncRNA
CUCCAGGUUCCCCGUGACCCUGAAAAGGAGUAAGCGGUAGAAGAUGGAUGGAUGGGAGAUAACCUAGGCUUCUGGUCAACAUGUUUGGAUUACAGCCUCAGUCAGAUCACAGUUAGCUACGUAAUUGUAUACAGACCUGGAAACAAGGUGUGGAAGAAGCUGCAAAAGAUGGAAGAGUGCUCAAACAGCAGCUUAAAAAGGGGAGGACCUGGCUACUACUGGGAGGACAAUAUCCAUACCAUGGGGCACCAAAUGGGGUCAGAGCUCCCCAUCUAUGAAGUAAGUCCAUAAUAUACAUUCAAUAGUCCUACAUAGGAAUCUGCUCAUGCCAUGUUAUCAGUUCCCUCUUGAGACUCCACCAGGUCUAAGUCCUACCCCCAGAAACAAGAAACAAGAAAAGAGGCCAAAGCUUGCACCUCAGACUCUGGAAGUGGAUACAGAUAGUGAGGAUGGUCACAGGGAAACCUGGAGCCUAUCCCAGGGAGCAUCGGGCACAAGGCGGGGUACAGGGUGCCAAUCCAUCGCAGGGCGAAAUCACAUACACAUUUUGGACAUGCCAAUAAUCCUACCAUGCCAUGCACCAUGCACCGGAGUACCCAGAGGAAACCUCCGCAGCACAGGGAGAACAUCUGCACACUCAUGGCCACCGUGGGAGUCGAACCCCUGGACUCUGGAGGUGUGAGGCGAACGUGCUAACCACUAAGCUACCGUGUGCCCCUACCUUAUUAUACAUAACUUUAUGUAUGGACUUUAACAUUGUGAAUUAUUUAUAUUUUCAGAUUUCUUGAGUUAAUACUGAUGUCUGCUGAAG